rnacentral:tRNA from 2 species
AUUUAUAUAGUUUAACAAAAACAUUACAUUUUCAUUGUAAAAAUAAAAUAAUUUUUUUUAUAAAUU